UGAAUCGGUUUGCAUUUUGCUGAAUUAUUGUUUUUUUCUACGUGAUUUAUUGGUCUCUUUUGGUUCCAGAAGUGCAUGCUCACCAUACUAUGUAGUUGGGUUGAUGUAUUGGCAUGAAUGUUGUUUCGGUCGAAUGGGUUGAGGCAGCGAAAUUGCAGCAGGAAAAUGCAGUGUCUUGCGUUUUUUUCUGUUUCUUCCCUAUGACUGCAGUUGGUUAUUGGAUGUUAAGGUGUUGUGUUUUAGUAUUUGGAUUAAAGCUGUGUUUUUUUUGCACUGAAAUCUGGUUUGCUUGACAUGGAAUGCAGCUGUUUCUGGCGCAUUUCAUAACAAAAAUACAAUGGCAGCAAACUUCGUUUUUGUUCAUGGUGUGUUUUAGAUUUGUUGGAAGGAAUCGAUUCCCUGGUUGCUGAAAUGUUUGAUGUUUAAAUGAUAGUUAGCUCACUUGUAUAUUAUAUCAAUCUGCUUUGCUGAAAUGGUGGAGUCUUUGUGCAUAGAGAUGUGCAUCAGAUGUUCAUGUAGGAACCCAGCAAAUAGAAUUACCGAAAUCUGCUAUGUUGCAUGCAUGAAAUGUUUUCUGAAUUUGGACUUUAGCCCCCUAAGUCUCCCCUUGUUCCACUAAAACCCGAUAAAUUGAAUAACUUCAUCAAUUGGGUCCUUGGUAGUUUUAACUUUUGCAACUUCAUUGUUUGUGUGAUUCAAUUAGUCGCCUUGCUUCAUUUAAUUUGCUAUUAAAGCACGAACUUAAGAGCUUUGUGUCCAAGUGAGAUUAUGUUUGCCUAUUUUCUUUAAUUAUUCUUAAAUAAAAUGGUACCUUGACUUUUUUUAUUGUUUUGAAGUCGUUUUUUCUUUCAUUUUGGGCACCACAACAAGGGAGGUAUAACUUUCUUUUAUCCUUUUUGUCUCUCCUAUGUGAUCCAAUUUGCUAAUUGAGAAUUACAUGUUUACUUGGCUUUUCUUAAAUUUGCUUUAAUUCCUU
rnacentral:lncRNA from 1 species